AACUGCCAAAAAAUUGCGAGGAAAACUAAAAUAAUGAACUGAAAUUAAAGCUAGAUUUGCAUAAGAUUUACAGAGGAAAAUCUAAGCCAGAUAAUAAUGAGCAAAAUGAAAGCAAAACAAUACGAAUAUCGGAAUUAUAUGGUUAUUGACAUAAGGUUUAAAAAUUGAGAAAAAUGAUUUAAAUAGCGAAAGCUAAUCAAUAGAACGACAAGCAAAAUACAAGGAAAACAACAAAAAAAAAUUAAGUUUAUUAGAUGAAGAAAUAAAAUAUAAAUAUAAUAUAUAAAA